rnacentral:lncRNA from 1 species
AGAGAGAGUGAUGAAGAGAAGAGAAAUAUGGCAACAGCAAAUGGAAUUGCUGGUGGCAUCACCAAUGUGCCUGGAGCUCCCAACAACGUGGAGAUCGAACAUCUGGCUCGCUUCGCCGUUGACUAUUACAACAAAAAUGAGAACGCAGUUUUGGAGUUUGUGACAGUGAUAAGUGCAAAGAAGCAGGUGGUGAGUGGGGUGUUGUAUUACAUAACCUUGAUGGCCAAAGAUGGCGAAACCAAAAACGUGUAUGAAACCAAAGUGUGGGUGAGAGAAUGGUUGAAGUCUAAGAAGGAGGUGCUGGACUUCAAACUCGUCGAUGAUUCAAUCAGAGAAGUAAUCGAAGGUGGAGUCAACGAUGUUCCUGCCGACACCCCACACAUCCAGAAUCUCGGUCGCUUUGCCGUUGAUCAAUACAACAAAGACCAGGUUCUCUUUUAUUAUAUUGUUCUUCCUUUUCUUCAUUUCACUAGGUAACGAUUAUUCCAUGAUUGAUUUUGUUGAUGACGCAGAAUGCAAAUUUGGAGUUUGUGAGGGUGAUUCAUGCACAGGAACAGAUAGUUGAAGGGUUCUUAUACUACCUAACUUUGGAAGCAAAAGAUGGUGAGAGUAAAAAUGUGUAUGAAGCGAAGGUGUGGGAGAGGUCAUGGAUCAACUCCACUCUAUUGGUCGAAUUUAAGCUUAAGCUUGUCAAUGAUGCUCUUUAAUCUUCUUUCCAUCGUAGAAUACCACUUUUCAAGACUAUUUUACUAUGCAUGUAUGCUAUAAAUAAAUGUAACUCAUGUUACGUACCCACCAUAUAUGUAUUCCCAUGAACUCCACUAUAAAUAAACGUUAUCAUUUAAUUAUAACUAAUGUUUGUGAUAUAUAUUUGUUGUUUAUUUGAAUAAAUUUAUUUUUGUUAAGAGGAUUCCAAGGUAAUUUAUUUUUUAUGUUUAUUUGAAAAAAUUUGGAGGUAAUAGUGAGACUAGAUUUCGAAGUAAAAUUUGUGAGAAUUAGUGUAGUAUUUAUUUUAUGUGACAGAUUAAAAAAAUUUACUUCCAAAUUCACUUUUACUUACCUCUAAAUCUAUUCAAAUAAACAACAAAAAAUUAGGCUUAAUAGCACUAAUGGUCCCUAUUUUGGCUAUCCACCUCAUUAAAAAUUGGGUUUCAUUAAAGAAAGACUUAAUACCUCUGAUGGUCCCUAUUUUCGUUAAGUGUGUUCGAAAUGGUCCUAGUUUUAUUUCAGAUUUUACCUCACUAUGCCUCAAGGGAAUCCACGUGGCCAGUUAAAUGCCACAUUAACACUUUUCUGCACAGCUGGAGUUUUUGCCGUUAACUAUUUAAACGGCGUCUCCAAAAAGGACCAGAUUGAACGAAAUUUACAAUCUUUAGGACCACAUUGAACAGAAAAAAAAAAUGGGGACCAAUUUGAAGUUUGCCAACCAAAAUAGGGACAUUAGUGUUAUUAAGCCAAAAAAUUAUCAUCAAAUCCUCUUAAUUACUCUCCUCCAAAUCCACUCAGGUGAACACAGUUUUAAUAGAUGAAAGAUUAUAAUAUCCUUAUAUAUAUAUAUAUAUAUAUAUAAUACUCUAUUCCUUGAAAUAAUACAUUAGAAUUAUUUUUUAAACUUUUUAUUAGUUGCAUCAUCCUUUCUAAUGGGGUUUUUCCCAUUGCUUGUGUUUAUUCUCUUCCCGUCUAAGUUCUGCGACGAACUCUUUUUGGUCUAAAUAGUACUGUUUCAAACUUAAGUAACUUAUUACUCACGCCCCCGUAUGUUAGCAUCAUUAAGUGUGUUAUCCUAUAUUUUUCUGUGUCUUAAUUACUCCAUGGUUGUAUUCUCCACCUCAUUGUAUAAUUUGUUUAUGAAAUAAUAAAGUUUGUCAUCGAAUUUGAAAUUACUGAACAUGUAUAUAAUACCACAAAGCUUUGUCUAUCCCAAACUUUCAGCUUUGAAUUCACUGGCACUACUACAGAAUUAAUCAUAGAUAGCGCUUUUUUAAAUAAGCGCUAUCUAUGAAUGUACAGAACAAUAGAUAGCGCUUAUUUAAAAAAACGCUAUCUAUACCUAUGAUAAUAGAUAGCGCUUUUUAGAAAAAACGCUAUCUAUAAAUAAUUUUUUUUUUUUAAAUUCAUAAUUUAAAAUAGAUUCAUAAUAGAUAACAUUUAUUUUAAAAAACGCAAUCUAUUAUAACACAAUAAAUAAGAUUUUACUUAAAAUAUAUAUAUAUAUAUAUAUAUAUAUAUAUAUAUAUAUAUAUAUAUAUAUAUAUAUAAUGUUAAAAAUAUUUUGAAAAGAGGUUUUCAAUCCCUCUUCGUCGGAGUAUUUUACGUAUUUCGUUCGAGUUUCUUUUUACUCUUCUUUGAACUCUUUUUAUUUUCAUAUUUUCCAAAAUUUUCCCUGUUUUUCCUAUUUACUCUCGUAUUUUUUAAAAUUUUCUCCCUUUCUCUUAAAUUUUCAGUUUCACUUAAGAUACAAAUUCAUCAAUCCCGCCAUCCCCAAAUUUCACUUUCGAUUUGCCCCUAAAUUUUACUUCGUGCUUGCACUCAAAUUUCACUGUGUUUAUCCCAAACCGGCAUUACAUUUUAGAUCUUAGUGGAGCAAGUCAUUAUUGUGUUGUCUUCUCCAUCAUUGCUCAUCGGCAGGCCAAAGUUCAUCAGUUGCCAUCACUGGUAAGGGUUUAGGAAACCAACCUCCUUCAAUAAAUUAGUACGGUCGUGGCUAGGUUUAAUGCUUCGCCAGAAGUUCUGGUGAGAGAAGUGAUGGUGUUGUUGAAGACAUCACCUACAAACCACACCUCGAGUCAGCACUCUCCUUUGCCAUAUCUUCAUUGUGCUUGCGGCAAUGUUGGCACCUCAUUUUCAAUUUCGUGUUACUUCUCUCAUUCUCGCGAAGCAUCACCAACAAACCACUCCUCAAGUUCUCUCUCUUGCAACAGCCACAAUUCUUCACAUAUCCACCUUUUCUCCUCACAUUUCUACCUUAUUUCAGCUAUUUCGGCCUUAGAAACACUAUCUUCACCGAGUAGUUCUUCGAUCUACGGCCUCUGUUAGGAUUUCCCUCAUUUUUCAUCUUUUUCUUUGAUUAUAACCGUUUAAAUACUCUUUUGCUCCGAUUAAACACUUUUCCACCGUUUAAUCUCCAUUUUGAUCUGUUUAAUCGGUUAACGUAGUGUUUUAAGGUUCUUUCACCGUUCGAUUUAGGGUUUCCUUGCUUCAUUCAUAGUUUUCGUUUGUUUGCUCUUGGAUUCGUAUCAUUCCAUUGCGUUUCACUCUUCGAGGACUUAUUGGAAAGGUGGACUUUACUGUUAGGCAUCUAUCUUCUUCCAGAAACUCAUUUCCUACCACAUGGGAGUUCAGCAGUACUCAACAAUGUAUUGGAAACACACAUCAGGUCUGUUGUUUCUUUUUCUCUGACCGAAAGUCCAUUUUUUUUCUCUCUUGAAAGUAAUUUUUAUUUUGCAAGUGCUCAUUCUGAUAUUUUCCCCUUUGUCUGAAAAAUAGUGUUCUACAUACACUGCAAUCCUUCAUCAGAGAAAACCUGGACCAUGCGUACCACCUUUCCGGAAUAUGUUGUUGCUCUGGCCAGUAUAGUUGGAUCUGUGCUUUUUGCUAUAAGUUAAUCCUAUCUCAUAUGUUGCCUGGUAAUUUAUGGAUUUUUGAGCAAAAUAUAUAUAUAUAUAUAUAUUUUUUACUUUUCAAAUUAUCAUACAUUCUUCCAAUUAUCAUAUUUUUUUCUUGUGAAAGUGUGUAUGAAUUAGGAUAUUGGGCUACUUGACUCCCCAAAAAUUUUAAUUUGAUCCUAUAAAUUGCACACAAGCAGAAGCAAUUACUUANAAUAAUGACCNUGGUAAUGCCUUGCAUCCAAGGUCGCAAGUAAGUUUAUUUCCUAUUACUGAUGUUAGNAAUUGAUUUCUCACCGUUCAAUCCAGAUAUUUGGUGGUGUUGGUAUUGCUUGUCUUCCAUUGGGACUUAUAUUUUCUUUCAUUCAACGUCCAAAGGCUGUUAUCACUCGUUCCAGUAUAUCAAGGUGUUAUAUCCUUUUAGAGCUGGAAACUACUAAAUGUUGAUUGAAUAUGUUGUAUUAUAUUUAUUGNGUGGUUUGUUGGUUAUGGUUGUAGGAAGCUACUAAAUUGGGCUGAAAAGCAAAAGAUCUGAAGAAAGCAGCUGAGUCACUUCGUCAGGAAGAAAAAGCUGGUUCAAAGGAUAGGAAAUUUCGUAAAAAUGUGAAAUCAGUGGAAAAGUACCAUUGUGGUUUAGUGCUUUAGUGGUACUUUAUAUUUCCAACAUCGUGUUAAAUAUUUUAUGUGUACNAUUGUUCACAUGCCAUAUAUUAAGUUGAUGUAUGCUUUUCUAGUGGCUGCUCAAACUUGUCCANAGUUUAUGAUUAAUUUGUUUGUGUUUAUGUUCUUAAACUUACCUAUCUUGCAUAAUUUGCCAGGAGUUGCUUCAAUUAGAAGAUUUCAAACUUCUUGAAGAGAUGUACCCAUAAGGAGAAAAGGUGAGUUCCUUGUCCAUACUAGACUUCUACACAUAUACAAUGUGCUAUAGUUCCCCCACUUACUGAUCCUGUAUGAAUNCAGGCUGAGGCAACAUGGGCACUAACAGUUCUAGGGUAUNUGGCAAAACUUGUUUUGGGAAUUUUAGGGUAAGCAAUGACAUAUAAGGAUUGAGUUACUUGGAAUGCUGGAUACACUAAACUGUCUGUGAUGAUUUUCAGAAGGUUCUCUCUUGAUAAAUUUCAUAAAGAUUGAUAGAUAAAUAGAUUAAAUGGUUUAUUUUCGUUACUAAAAAUUGAUUGAAUUUAAAUUAAUGAAGGAANGACUGAUAAGAAGUUUAAGUAAAAUUAUAUUUGGUUAUAGAAUAUAUAAUUUAACUAGGAGAAAAUAAUGAUAUUUUAGAGAAAAUAGACAAAAUUAGUUGNAUUGAAGUGCUACUAGANGUAUGAGGGUGGCAAUAGACACCCCUUCGAUGGGGGCAGUGAAUACAGUUGCAUUACUAUUGCUGGGAUAUUAUUACUCUUGCUAUCUUAAUCUAAAACAGGUUUUAUGACUUCCAUGUAUCAUCUAACUUAAGAUUUGAAAACUGUGCCAGAUUAAUCGUUUCUGUGGCGUGGGUUGGUCAUAUUAUUAUCUAUCUAUUAGUUGAUCCUCCUAUUUCUCCUUUCUUGAAUGAAGUUUUCAUCAAGCUGGAUGAUAUCUGGGGUAUGUUGGAAUACGCUUACCUUAAUAUUUGAUUACCAUAAGUUAUAUAGUUUAGAUAUAUUAUAUUAUAAUUUCCAUUAUAUUAUUCUUCGUGAUGUCUUCUUCUUUCAUUAGGUCUUCUUGGUACACCUGCAUUUGCAUUCUUCUGCUUCUACCUUCUUGNUGUGAUUGCUGGAGCCAUGGUGCUUGGGCUGAAGUUUUUAUUACUANUCAUCCAAUGAAGUAAUUAAACAUUGCAGUCUAUUAUACCAUUUCACAUUGAUUUUAAUUUGUAUUGGUCACAUACUAGGACUUGUUAAUUUUUCUAACAUUAAUUUCUACUAAAAUUUAAUUAACUAAUUUUAUAUUUUUUUUUGCAGUAUUUUUUUAGUUACAGAUGUCGACAACAUUGUGACAAUCAAAUCAUUGAAGUUAGAGAAGAUUGAUGUUUAUAUUUAAUUAGUACACAUUUAUAGGUUAUGUUAUGAAUGUUAUACUUGUAUAUAUUGUCUUAUAAAGCUAUGUAAUAUCUUAUAAAGUUAUGUAAUGUCAUGAUACAUAUUGAAUAAUUCAAUGAUUAUAUUUUGAAAUAUUAUUGUAUCAAUGAUUUUUAUUUGUACACUAAACUAAUGAACAUUUUUUUAUCUUUGUAGUUUCAUAUUUUUCUUAAUAAUUUAUAUUUUUUUAUAUAUAAUAGAAUCAAUAAAUAGUGUUAGUUUGUAUACAAUAGAAUUAAUAUUUUAUAUUUUUUUUGAAAAAAUAUUUUAUAUUUUUUGAAAUAUUUUAUAUUUUUUGAAAUAUUUUAUUAAAAAUUUAUUAUUAUUUUUUAAAAAUUUAGAUUAAUAGAUAGCGUUUAUUUAAAAAAGCGCUAUCUAUUGGUGUCUGACAAUAAAUAGUGCUUAUUUAAAGAAGUGCUAUCUAUUAAUAGAUAGCGCUUACAUAGAUAGCGCUUGCUUAAAAAGCGUUAUCUAUAAUAAAAAAAAUAGCGCUAUCUAUGAGUUUUUUUGUAGUAGUGUGGGCUGAUCUAAUCAUUCUUUCGUUAACUUUAUUGUUGUCGCCAGAAUCUAAAACCCAUCGCUCAUUACAUGCAGAAAACAAACUAAACACGCAGUUUUGUUCUGAAACUUAGUCUUGGGUUCUCUUCUGCACUUGAUCUGCAAACACAUAAUAAAUUAUAAUGUAAGAGAUUUGAUGACAAUCAAUAGUGAAAAAUCUUAAAUUUUAUUUAAUUUCACUUCUCUUUAUCUAACGGAAGACUUUUCUUUUACCUUAAUUUUUAAACAAUCAUACUGAGUCCAGUGAGAAAAGAAUUAGAAGGAAGUUCUCUAAGCUACAACACAGAGUGUUAUAGUAUCUCAAUUUAGACCCAUAAAUUUCAAAAUGCACUUAAGUUGGUCCUACAUAGACAUAAUUGAUGAGAUUCCAGAUAUACAUAUAGUUGAAGAGACACGUACAAUUCUCUCAGAAUUCAAUAUUACAACCUCAAACAAAUUACAUAUAGUGGAUACUCCCAAACAAAAUAAUUAUAACAAGCUUUUUAGACUAUGCAAAUCUCCAAACUUUAACCCUUGAUUAUUUGGAGACAAAUAAUGGCAGUCUAUUUAAUAGAAAAAGCUUGUAUGGAUUUACUUGCCAUCAUCAUGAUGUAAAAGUUUGGCAAUGAGCUUGGAUGAAUGAUUUUCAAUGCUUUAAUAGUAUUCAGUUCAAGAAAGUUGUUUUGUUGUCUAGUUUUCUCUUAGAUGCUUGUAAUUGACAUUUGCUUUACUUUUGUUGAUGUUACCUUCCGACAACUUCUAAAUUGAAAUAGAUCAAUUUAAGAAUCUGGAGAGAAUGUUCGAUACUCAAAAGAAUGUUUUACUUUUAUGUAUGUGGAACAUAGAAUCCACCUUUUCUUCUUUACUCUUGGAAUCCAGCUAUUCUUGGGAUUUACUUUUAGAAUUUAGCAAUCCUUGGUUUUACUUUUGGAACAACAUUCUCUUGGUCUUCCUUCGUUAAUUUUAAUACCAAUAAAUCAGCAAAAAAUAAUAUAGGACCUUUUGAUAUCAGAAAAAUAAAAAUUUAAUUAUACAUUAUUAACUUGAAAAAUGUUACCUAUACAUUUUCUAACAUUUAAAAAAAUGUUGCCUCUACACUCUACUACAAAAGUGACAUAUUAUAUUGAUUUAGAAAUCAGUAGUGUAAGGUGAUAUAAUAAGUGAAACACAUAUGAUAUUAGUUAUCUAAGAAUCGAUGUUAUAUGUUAUGAUUUUUUCUUUUAAAAGCACGGUGUAACAACGGCUUGCGGUUAUGAAACGAGUGCGAGGAUGGAGGGCGAAACUGAAACUAGUGUCGACAAGAUGGACUUUUCUCAAUAGCAGCACAAGGAGGGUGUUUCUUUCAUGCACCUUCCUUCACAUAGCACUACAACAACGACAAUGGCCAGGGUUCAACACAAAGUAGUGAAAGGUUGUGCCUUCUUCGCAUAGUAGUAGUGACGCAAUAUGGAGGCUUCUCAGUGUUAAAGGGCGACAUCGAUGAAACUAGCGGGAAAAGAAAAAAACCAAUGAAGCUUUUCUAAAUAUCGAGAGGGAAGCUUUUGAUUAUGUAACGUAUCCUAAGAAUAUUCCUUGUACAAUCUUAUCUUCAAGCUUGUGUCUCCUUUGAUCAGGAACAUGUACGCAGUAGAUUGAUCAAAAUACUGGUAGGUGGUUAGUUUCCAAAUUUCUUUCACUUCAAGGUUCAAUAAUAGUCUUGCCUUGGACUACCUUAGUUGGACAUUUAUUUAGAUUGUAAACUGUAAUGUAAACUUCUUUAGUCCAAAAAGUAUUAGGGAUGCUUUUCUCUUUUAGCAUUGAUCUUGUAUCAUCUCCAUGACUGUAUGAUUCUUUCUCUGUGUGGCACACCAUUUUGUUGUGGAGUAUAUGUGACUGUAAGUUGUCUAUCUGUGUCUUCAUCUUCACAAAAUUUUUCAAACUCGCGAGAUAUGUUUUCCUUUCCACGAUCACUUCUAAGUACUUUUAUCUGUUUUUCGCAUUACUUCUCAACAAGGGCCUUACAAUUCUUGAAUACUCUUAAGAGUUUUGACUUUGCCUUUAAGAAAUAGACUCAUGUUAUCUUAGAGAAGUCAUCAAUGAGAAGGAUGAAAUACAUGUUGUUGUGAUGUAAAGGCGUCCUUAUCGAUCCACAAAGAUUAGUAUGGAUCAUCUCUAAAGUCGUUUGCUCUCCAUGCUUUUCCUGUUGAGAACGGCAAUCAAUGUUGUUUCCCGAGAAAACAUCUAUCGCAUGAUUCAUUAUUCUGCUUCAAGCAUAGAAGAUCUCUCAUCAUGUUUUUCUUAUAUAGAAGCUUUGAGGCAUUUGUGUUGAAGUAGCCAAAUCUCCAAUGUCAAAGUCAUGAGUCAUCAACUUCUGUCUUCAUAACAAUAUUAGUUCCAAGUUUGAAACUUAUAGGAAAUCUUCUAUUUAUAUUCUCCAUUUUUACUUGACCAAUUUAUAACUUUCUGUUGUCAUAAAUUUUUUAUGUAUCUUUCUCAAAGUGAAAAGAAUAUCUAUUCUCAUUGUGGUGUCGUUUCUCAGCCGAACUUUGACAUUGAUAGAUUUAUUCCCUUAUAUUUUUAGUUCUAAGAUUAUAAUUUUAGUUUUAGUUGAAAGACAUUUUUAAUCAAGUGUUAAAUGUUGUCUUACAUCAAAUCAUAAUAUAUAUUAUAUUUAUAGAUUCAGAUUAUUUUAAAAAAUGUUAAUCAUAACUUAUAUAAAAUGUUCUAGAUUUUUAACUACGUAAAAUAUUUUUAAUUUUGUUUUCUAUAUUAGUUGUGAAGACUUCAACCCACAGUCAUACUAAUUUUAGGAGUUUAGUAUCCCGUAACCUUCUAAUACCAUAUACUUCACCAUUUAAACAAAUAAGCACUAUAACUACUUCCAAUGAUAAUUUUAUUUUAUCAAUACCUAUGUAUAACAGAUAAAAAUAAGAAACAUUAAUAAAAUAAGUUUUUUAACAAUUAUUUUAAACAUAUAAUUGGGUUAUAUAAACGAGUGAGUAAUGUUAAAUAAAUUCUAGUAGUAAAAUAGAUAAUUAAUUAAAUAAAAUCAUAGCUAAGGUUUUGUAAUAAAAUAUCUUUGUCAUUUUGUUUUAUUAAUUACAUAAAUUUCCAAAAAACAUUAAGAAAAAAAAAAACGAAAUAAAGAAUCAUAUAUGUUCACAUCCAAACACGUUCUAAACAUUGGGUGAGUUGUGUCCACAAUUCUAAUUAUCGNNNNNNNNNNNNNNNNNNNNNNNNNNNNNNNNNNNNNNNNNNNNNNNNNNNNNNNNNNNNNNNNNNNNNNNNNNNNNNNNNNNNNNNNNNNNNNNNNNNNNNNNNNNNNNNNNNNNNNNNNNNNNNNNNNNNNNNNNNNNNNNNNNNNNNNNNNNNNNNNNNNNNNNNNNNNNNNNNNNNNNNNNNNNNNNNNNNNNNNNNNNNNNNNNNNNNNNNNNNNNNNNNNNNNNNNNNNCAUGAGAUCAUUGUAUACUGUUUCUCUACCACUCAAAAUUCAAUGAAAAGAAGAUAAGGUUUGGUAUAUUUUUGAGUAUAAAGAGUGGUAGAACAGAGAGGGUGAUGAAGAGAAGAGAAAUAUGGCAACAGCAAAAGUAACUGUUGGUCUUGGUGGCAUCACCAAUGUGCCUGGAGCUCCCAACAACGUGGAGAUCGAACAUCUGGCUCGCUUCGCCGUUCACUAUUACAACCAUCAGCACAACGCAGAUUUGGAGUUUGUGACAGUGAUAAGUGCAAAGAAGCAGGUGGUGAGUGGGGUGUUGUAUUACAUAACCUUGAUGGUCAAAAAUGGCGAAACCAAAAUCCUGUAUGAAACCAAAGUGUGGGUGAGAGAAUGGUUGAAGUCUAAGGAGGUGCUGGAAUUCAAAGUCGUCGACGAUUCAACCACAAAAUUAGGCACAGGUGAAAGAAAGGAUGUUCCUGCCGACACCCCUUACAUCCAAAAUCUCGGUCGCUUUGCCGUUGAUCAAUACAACAAAGAGCAGGUUCUCUUUUAUUAUAUUGUUCUUUCUUUUCUUGAUUUCACUAGAGAACCAUUAUUCCAUGAUUGAUUUUGUUGAUGACGCAGAAUGCAAAUUUGAAGUUUGUGAGGGUGAUUCAUGCAAAGUUGCAGAUAGUGAAAGGGUCCUUAUACUACCUAACUUUGGAAGCAAAAGAUGCUGAGAGUAAAAAUGUGUAUGAAGCGCAGGUGUGGGAGUUCAACUCCACUGAAUUGGUGGAAUUCAAGCGUGUCAAUGAUGCUCUUUAAUCUUCUUUCCACUUUUCAAGACUACGUACUUUUAUUAUGCAUGUAUGCUAUAAAUAAAUGUAACUCAUGUUACGUACCCACCACCACCAUGUAUUCUCAUCAACUCCACUAUAAAUAAACUUAUUAUAUAAUUUUAACUAAUGUUUGUGAUUUAUUUAUAUAUAUAUAUAUAUAUAUAUAUAUGUUUGGGUGUUAAUUAUGGAACAUUCCCUAAUUAUUCUGUUAACAGGUUUUUUAAUAGAUUAACUACAAAUUCCUUAACUAUUCAUUUUCAUGAAAGUACAUGGGUUUUUGUCGUAAAUGUUAAUGACGUUGUAUGAUAAAGAGAAGCUUCCAACAAGUCCAUGGUAACUAAUAAUGUUGCUGAUAUAAUCCACAUAAAUUCUUUCAUAAAUUGACUCUCAUAUCACAAACAGACCGGUGAUAAACAUCGGGAGAGUUGUAUCCACAAAUGCCUCGCUCAUUGAAAAACUAUAUGAAACUUCAACUUAUCUCAUUCUCCUUGGCUGUUCUUAUACAUACUUGAAACUUUUGGAUUCACAAGAGGUGUACUUCACUCAAAAGACCGCUUGAGAUUUUAAGAAAAUGAUUCCUAAUAUAUACCAAAACAUAUCAAUCAUGAUUGAAGGUUCUUAUAGCCUAUACUGGAAUGCACGUAUGAAAAUGAUUGAAGGUUUCUAUUGUAAAAAGUUAUAUUCAAUGUUUCUUAACAUUUUUUUGUUAUGUAAUAUAGUUUCGAAAUAGAUAUAACUAGCAAGAAAUAAAAAGAAAAAAAGUAAAAUAACACUAAGAAUUAAUUAAUCUCUCAAAUAUUUAUAGUAUAUAAAUCUAUAUAUAUAGUAGAGGUUAAUGGUUAUUAAUCAUUAUUUUUCAUUGUUUUAAAGUUGUAGAUAGAAAAUGACGUAACUAAAUAUAUUCUUACAUAGUGAGUGUGAAAUGAAUGCACAAAUGAUUUAAUAGAGAUAAGAAUAUUAUCUGAUUUGGGUGAAUUAAAAAUCAAAGAUUUUAUGCUCAGUUCUUUUUGUGAAUUUUUAUAAUUAUCUACAAAUUGUAUCCGUUGACAUGUUUUUAUAAUUAUCUAUCAACUUUAUACAUUGCUUAACAACAUAAUGUUUGUUCAUUAAUCGUGCUUCAUAUUUUGAGUAAAAUUCAACUAUGCCAACAGACCAAACUAUUAAGUUUCAUGUUAGCAUAGAAGGGAGUUUUACUAUAGAAAUGAAGAAAGAUGUACAAACAAAACAAUGUUUGUUUUAUGGCCUAAUUACAAGAGCUUAAAAUGUGUUAGAUGUUAAUAUCAAAUUCCAAAGGGAUGCUUCCAGUCCACUUGGCAGUUUUAACUGGCAACGAAAGAGUGAUGCGAUAUUUAUGCCCUAACCUCAAUAUAAUGGCUUACGAUGAUAUUGAAAAACUCUUUUAUAUAAAUAUUAGCAAAAACAUGUUUGGUAAGUAAUAAAGAAAAAUGCAGACGAAGGAAAAGGGAAAAGGGAAAAGAAUCUCAAUGCAUACUGCCUUGAUAUUAUUACUGUAGCCAAAAAACAAUCUUAGAAUUUUUUUAUAUUGUUACAAAUUUGCAUUACACUUUAAUAAAAUCAAUAAACGGAAGAGGAUGAAGCAUAACAGGUAAAGAAUUCCUCAACGGGAUAGGGACAGAAGUUAAAAAACUGAAAAUGGACAAGAUUUUGGCGUUGAUUACUCAACCAUACUGCUGUUAAAAAAUGGUACAUGUUCAUAUCCAAACACGUUCUAAACAUUGGCUGAGUUGUGUCCACAAAUCUAAAUAUCGCUUAUAACUUUCAUAUAUUUUGUACACUUAAGAAUAAUGACAUAAACAUCAAUUUGUUAAAAUCCAAACACGUUCUCCAUAUUGGGCAUACUCUUAAAUAAUAUAGAAUUAUCGAAUAUACCAAAAACAUGACAAGCCAGAAAAAUUGGAAGUAAAUAACGCCGGGACCAAAGAGAUGCAAACAAAAUGCAAUAGGUGUAAAAAUACAACCUAUAUGAUUCAAAUUCUUAUGGCUAUCCACAAAUAAAAUCUCAUACAAGACAGAAAAACGAGAUACAUUGAUUUUUGUUUGUUUUUUUUACGAGAUCAUUGUAUACUGUUUCUCUACCAUUCAAAAUUGAAUGAAAAGAAGAUAAGGUUUGGUAUAUUUUUGGGUAUAAAGAUCAUUUAAUUGUAAGUAAAAGCAUUAUUGCAUCAAUUCCACUGUAAUAUCCACCGUAAGACAUAUUUGGAUAAAUAAUUGGAAAGUUGUGCCCACAUCAUUAAAAAUGUACCAAGCUUCAACUUAUCUUUAUUUUCUUUUCCAACUCUAACUUACCAAAUCGAGUUCAACGUACUUCAUAAUAUAAUUCUCCUGAAAAAAAAUUAUUUUAUUAACACCAAACCUUAAUAAAGAAAACCAUUUGAUAACUGUGAUUAAUUAAUAAUAAAAUAUCAAAAAUAAGAUAUAAAUUAAAUGGUUAAAUAAAAGUAUUAUAAGGAAUUGUUAGGAAGUAUUAUAAACUUCUUUUUGUUAAUUUUCGAUCCCAAUCAAUCAUAACAGUUAACAGAGAACUUUUGAUAUCGGAAAAAUAAAACAGUAAUUACACAACCCAGGAAAAUUUUCAACUUUAACUGUAUUACCACUCAAUUUUUUCCAUGCAUUUUAAUAUUAAUUUUUCAAUUUUAAUAUAUUUUUAAACAAAAAUUAUAUUUGACACAUACAUAUAUUUUAUAUUUAUUUGAUAUUUACCCUCCUUUAUUUUUUUUCUAAAUUUUACUUCUUUUUUUUUUUUAAAUUAUUUUACUUUUAUAAUAUAUAUUAAAUGGAUAUAAAUAUAAGUCACCCUUUCCGUUAUUCAUUUUUAAAUAGUAUUCUUAAUUCCAUAAAACAUCCCUAAAGUUUAGCAAAACACAGAUAAAGGUAUUCUAUGCAAGACAUGAGAAAGAGGAACCUGAAACACCAAUAAAAUAGAACAGAAUAUAAGAGUGGUAUUCACCCUUAAUUCUCUAUCAUAUCAUAACUUAAGCAUCUACCUUUCUACUAUCAUCACUAUACCAUACACGCCCCUCCCGUAAACUUUAUCUUCUUUGUUUUAUAUACAUGUUUUUAGCUUCAACUCUGCCUCAUCUUAUAAAUACCAAAAACAGUGUCGAAUUCAAGAUCAAAUUGACGUCGGACAUAUAACAAUUCGACGUCUCCAAUAAAACAAAUUGAUGUUGGAUAUUAUCAUUGUUCGACGUCAAAUUUUGUCAUUGUCCGAUGUUAAUCAAUUUUUUUUAUUUUUUUUAAUUAAUUAUAAUCUUUUAUAAUCUUACGAGACUUGAAAAACAGACAAACAACAAAAUAUAAUCUAGUUUUUGGUAUUUUAUACAAUAGGAACUUUGAACUAUAACUAAAAACAUAAAAGUUAUUAUGACAAUAAUAGUAUUAACUUGUGAUUUUUUUUUUAUAGCUAUGGGUGUUGAUUUUGGUUGGAUUUUUUUACCACUUUUUUAGAACCCCUAAUUCACGAAAAUGUACCAGAGCUCUUACUUUGAGUCUAUGUGAAGUAUAAAAAUUAUUUGGAAAGUUAGCAGCGAUAUAUCUUUAAACAACCAUAACAUUUACUCUGGUUGUCCGCUUUAUUAUUAUUAUUAUUAUAUAUAUCGAUUUCGGGUAGAAAAAAGUUUAUGAUACUGUGGUAGCUUGUGUAGCCAGCUAAUCCUUCUAGAUUCUCAAAAAAACGUUGUGUUCUAUUUUUCAGAAAUUUAUUUUGUUUUUUUCAAACUUUGCAAAAGUAUUUAAAAUGGUUAGACUUUGAAUUUUGAUCCAAAUUUUUUUGUGGGGGCUUCUCAUGGUAUUUUGGUGCUUUGAACAAAGUUUCGGGUCAUUUGGAGUUGUUUUCAAUAUACUCUUAGUUCUACCCUAAAGCUUAGAUGUAUAACAUGUACUGUAAUAUGAAUUACAAACAACAACAACAAACAAUUUGAAAACGAAAACGAAAACAAAAACAAAAACGAAAACGAAAAUUAACCAUAAACAAGGUGGGUUCUUCGAAAUAAAAUAUUGUCACUGGAUACAGAAAACAAAAUGUGCCUAUAUAAAGGAGAAGAACAUGAAAACAAUCGGUCAUAACAAACGAAAAUUAUACCUAAAGUAGUUAAUCAACAUGCAUUUGUAUCAAAUGAAAGAAAGAUUACAUGUGUUGGUCGUCAAGCUUCGUUCGAGAAAAGUUUGAGCAGAGAAGAGGAUCUUGCACUAAGAUAGAGUGAAUGAAUUUUCAACCUCUUAAAUUUUUUAUUAAAUUCACUAACAUAUAACGUUUGAUUUUAGGGUAUUCAAUGCUUUAUAACCUUACGUCUAAUUCUAGGACAUUCAACUCAUAUGUAAGUAUAUUUUCACCUUGGUGUCCAAACAUUUUUUGAAAAUUUACCCAAUAAGGCGUCGAACUUUUCAAUAUCCGACGUAUUAUAACCAAUUGACAUCGAAUUAUAGUCCUAAAUGACGUUUAAUAACUACAUUUAUUUACAAAAAUAUCACCCAUCAUUUUUAACGUUGGAUAUUCAAUAAUUGGACGUUGAACGCGUAACAUUAUACAUAGUUUUUGUAAUAGUGGUCAUCACCAACAUGAAUCACCAUACUGUACUUGUCAUCGACAACUCAGAAGGGAUGUUUCUCGUUCACUUGGUUGUUUUAACUGGCCAUGGCGGAAUAGUGCAACAUUUCCACUCUCCUCAUUUGCACAACAAAAUGGUUAAUAUGGAUAUUGAAAAACUCUUUUUUAUGACCAUUAGCAACAUGUUUGGUAAGCGCAUCUAUAUAUAUAUAUAUAUAUAUAUAUAUAUAUAUAUAUAUAUAUAUAUAUAUAUAUAUAUAUAUAUAUAUAAAAGGAGGAGCCUGAAGAAAAUUAAGAAGAAAUUAUUUAAUGUUACAUGGAGUACUUAUAUACUAAUUCAUGUUAUAUAACUUGUAGAUAUGUGGUUAAAUGUUUCUUUCUUUUCAUGAUACUUUGUUGGACCAACUGCAAACUAGUGGAAGAGAAUGAUAAAGAAAGAUCAAUGUGUCUGGCAUUGUUCAAGCUGUUAUGGGUUAAUGUUAGGUCAUUAUUAAACGAACAUUACAUAAAAAACAAGAAUUAUUGAUAGAUGAAAUUUAUUAAAAAAAGCCUAGAAUUAUUGAUGGAUGAAAUUUAUUGAUAAUGACAAAUAUUCAUCGAUAAUGAAUAUUUAUUGACGAAUUUUCAACUAUCAAAAAUUUGUUGAUAAAUGAAAAACAUUAUCGACAAAUUAUGAUGGUUAGUAAUUAUCAAAGACUAAAGACAGUGAGUUUCCAAUACAAAAAGUAUUGAUAUUAUUGACAACCUAAGACAAAAUAAAAAACUUUGAGGUUACGAGAUGACCUCUUGACAAAAAUAAUCGAAGUGAGAUAAAAGUCUCACACCAAAUAAAAAUAAUAAAUUAAUAAAAGAUUUAUAAAUUAAUAAACCUGUAAAUUCCUACAGCACACCCCAGGUGACAUAAAACAUCGUAGAAAGUACUCAUUGACACAAUACAAGUUGCAGAUACACCCUCGUCGCCAAUGAUACUCUCGCAAAAAAUCUUUACUUUUUCUAAGCAAUGAUCUUUUCACGGAAAACCCAUUAAACAGAUGCAUACUAUGCCAUAUAUUUCUUGCUUUCUAUGCAUGUAAAUAACAUAUAGGUGUGCAUUAUCAUGUUCCUAAGGCUAUGUACAGUGUUAUCCUCUAAUUAAUCUACUUUUCAACCUAUUGUAUUGGUACAAAUUAAGAGGCUAGGAAAAAAUUUCACUAAUUUAUUUUUCCUAAUUAUGCACUUGUUUUUUCUGAUUUAAACAAUUUCACUAAUUUAUUAAAUGUUUUAUGUAGAAAAAAAUUGAAAGAUAACGUACAUAAGUGUCUCAAUAAAAAAAAAUAUACCGUUCAGAUUUAUUGACUCAUGUUUUAGGAAUCCAAGAAUAUUGUGGACACGUUCACAAUCUAGAUUUGGUUCCGUGUCCAUUUAAAGUUUUUGGAGUCAAUACUCAUCUUCAUAGUGGAUCAUCAACAUCUUCUAAAGUCGAACAAUUACAAACUCAAGAUUAAUAAAUAUUUUAUUAAUAUUUAAUUGGUUUUUUAUUUUUAUGAUUAAUUUAUUAGGUAUUAUUUUUCUUACUUUUUAAAUAAUUUUUCUAUUAGAGGUAUCUUCAUUGACAUCACAAGUUAAUAAAAUGAAGACAAUGAUGACACUUUUGUUACAAAAUCAAACAAUAAUUUUGGUUAUAAAUUAUUUAAUUGAAAUCAUUUUAUAAAAGUUAAUUUAAUAAAAAAAUUAAUGAAAACCAUGAAGUUUAUUUAUUUAAUAAUAUUAAACACUUUAAUUAUUAAUUAUAUAUAAUUUAAAAUAUUUUAUAUACAUUUAAAUGCAUUAUUUAAAAACUAUAAAUUAUUUUAAAUAAUAAAAAAAAAUUAAAAAGGGAAAGUGUGUAGACUUCAAGAAGUCAUCAUCCCCUACAAUUUUAAUUAUUUUGUUUUUUUUAUUAAUUUAAAUAGUUUAUAUUUAAUAUUAUUAUUAAUUUAAAUACUUUAUAAUGAAAAAAAAUUAUUAACUAAUUAUAAUUUUUUUUAAAAAUAUACUAUAAUAAUAAAAACUUAAAAAAAUAAAUUAUAAUGAAAUAUAAUUUUUUUGAAUUUUUAAUUAGAUAAUUACAAUAAUUAUAGUUAAAAAAAUUUUAAUUGAAAUUAUUUUAUAAGAAAUUUAAUUUAAUUAUAAAAAUAAUUAAAAUUAUGAAAUUGACUUAUUUAAUAAUAUUUAAAAACUUAAAUUAUUAAUUAUAUUUAAUUUUAAUUAUUUUAAAUACAUUUAAUUUUUUAUAAAUUAUAAAUGAUUUUAAUUAAUAAAAGAAUUAAAAAAAAAAAAGUAAAAAUGUGUGGGGUGCCCGACUUCAAUAGAAGUCGUCAACCCCUACGACUUCAAUUUUUUUUAUAUUGCUUUUGUGAAGAAAGGUGUGGUAAUCGAUUUCAACACCUGUUAAUCGAUUAUCACAUUCUAAAGUCAUUUUUUGAAAUGUACGAUUUCGCUUCUAACUAAUGUGUCAUGGUAAAGUCGUGCAAGAGACACGACUUCUUUCAUUUAAAGUGGUUUGGAUUCUUCAUGACUUGUCUAUUUUUAUAAUUCAAAUUUUUUUUUGCUUAGAUACAUUAUUUAUACUUCAAAUUUGCUUAAUUACAUACAAAAACCCCACCCUUUUCUUCUCUUCGUCAAAUAAUGUUAGAGUUUCAUUACCAACAAACAUAUCAUUUAUAACUUUUCUAAUGUUUAUUAUUUUUCUUAGCCUUUGAAAGAUGAGACUUCAUGAAUUGAAGAAGUCGGUAAAUGAGAAAAUUCAUUUAGUAUCUACAACUUGUUGAUUGCUUUGUUUAAGAUAACAACUUAUUGAUCACUCUAUUUAAAUAGGAAAAAAUCCUUAAGUGCCUUUUUCCCCGUCCCAAUUGCUUAUCCUGAAUUUACAUCUCUAUAUUUACAAUAAUUUUCACAUUGAUUGAAUUAUAUUUUAACUUUAAACUCACAUGACCAAUGAACUUGUGUUUCACUCCUUACUCGGUUCUUGGCCAAAUCAACUAAUCGACCACACACAUCAAUGUGCACAAAUUACAGAGUCUUCUUUCUUAUUGUUUAGUUUCUUUGGGAAAACUUCUUGCAUACUCUUAAAGGAUAUAUACUUUACACAACUGAAUAGGAUAUCUUAACUCACUGAACAUUUUUCAAUUCUUAGAAUUUAAAUCUUUUUUUAUCAUAAAUAUUAGUUGUUAAUAUUUUAUUAGAACUUAAACUAUAUACAAUAAUUUAUUACAAAAUUAUAGUGAAGAUGAUGUAAAAUAGAGAAUGUACUAUUUUAUUUGACAUGCAUGAGUAACUUAUUUAUCAUACAUAUUUUUUGUUAUUUAGCAAACUAACCAUGAUGUUAAUAACCCUUCAAAUGCUUAAUAUAAAUAAUUACACUAGAGAAUACCCCUUAAUGUAUACUAACUCAUCUUUUCCUUUUCUGGCAACCCUCAUCUUGUAAUUACUAAUUCAAACAACCUUGAACAUGUUCAUAAUCGCUAUUUACCUUGUCUUCUGCAUAUAUGCAUUCCAUCUUGGCUAUUUAAUUUGUUCAUUUGAUAGAUGUGGCCAUUACAUUAUUUGAAAAACAUCCACUUGGUUCUUAAUUUAGAAAUUUAAGCAUGUAUAUAUUUUUAAAUAAGAAUUAGUUCUUUAUGGUCAAUAUUCAGUGUUAUAAUGGUAAUAUAUUUGAUAUUUAUUAAGUUAUCAAUCUCGUGAUACAAACUUAUAGCAACUGACAAACAAAUAUUUACACUUUCAAUUUUAAGUCAGGAGUUAGAACUUUGCAAAUAGAAAUAAAACAAAGAAAAGGUGCUUAAUAUAAGAUCAACUUUUAAUUUGAGCUUUUUUUUUUACUUGUUUUCAUGUUAAUAAUUUUUCGAUCGGACAAAUCUAGAGGGAAAAGUAGGAUCAACCGUAACUGUUAUGGAAUUGCUGGAGAGGAUAUGGACUGAAGUUAAAAAACUGGACGUCUUCGACAUUUAUUAUUUGAUUAAUAAAUGUCAUCUAUAGUGAUCUUUGAUUCAAUAGCAUCGGGAAACUACUGUGGCGUUUUUUAGGUCUUAUUCAUUUGAGUGGAUUUGAGAAAGAGUAAUUGUGAGGAUUUGAUGAUAAGUGAAAGUGAAUUUGAAAGUAAAUUUUUUUAAUCUGUCACAUAAAUUAAAUCAUACACUAAAUUUCAUAAAUUUUAUUUCUAAAUGUACUCUCACAACAAAAAAAAAUUACCUUCAAACUCUCUAACUUACUCUCCCCAAAUCCACUCAAGUGAACGAGACUUUAAUGAGUUUUACAAGAAUAAUGACCUAUCGGGACCUUGAUAGAGGGAAUCUAUUGCACGUGAUUUUUCUACAUCGACGUUUGAACAUCUUCGAUGGGUUUCAAAAUGAUAUAAAACAGCUGUUACUAACCGAUGUGGAUAAUGAAGGACUCUACCUCAUUGUCUAAUUUGUUUGUGAUAUAAUAAAGUUUGAAAUUAGUAACAUGCAUGUCAUACCACAAAGCUUUGUCAAUCCCAAACUUUCAGCUUCGAAUUUACUGUGCUGAUCUAAUCAUUCUUUCAUUAACUUUAUUGUUGUCGUCAGAGUGUUAUACUAGCUCAAUUUAGACUCCUCGUAAAUUUCAAGAUGCACUUAAGUUGGUCUUACAUACACAUAAUUGAUGAGAUAGACAUCCCAAAUAUACAUAUAUUUGAAGAGAUAUAAAUACACGUACAAUUAUCUCACAAUUCAAUAUUACAACCUCAAACAAAUUACAUAGUGGAUACUGCUACACACAAUAAUUAUAACAAGCAUUUUAGACUAUGCAAAUCUCCAAACUUUAACCCUUGAUUUGGAGACAAUUGAAACCUGUGUCAAUAGGAUGGACUCUUCUCAAUAGUAGCACAGGGAGGAUGCAUGCACCUCCUUCGCAUAGCAGUAGCUAUCCCUCCUUCAUACAACAGUGGCGACAACGGCUAGGGUUAACCAAGAAGUAGUGAAAGGUCGUGCCUCUUUCGCAUGACAAGACCUUCUUUGCAUAGUAGUAGCGACGUGGGGUGGAGGCUUCUCAACAUUAAAGGGCGACGGUGAAACUAGUAGGAAAAGACGAAACCAAUGAAGCUUUUCUUAAUUAGUAUAGAAUAAUUGUUGCUCCUUAUGUUCUUUCGCUGAGUUUUCUUGAUGUUUAUUUUUAUUACGAUAAAACUUUUCCACCUGACUAAAUUUCUUAUAGUAUUGACAUUGAGGUUUUUCAUAAUAUCAACAAUCUUUUUUUGAAGUGACUUGUCUUUUAACAAAUGUAUUGACACAGAAAAACUUUUAGAAUUUUCUUUAUUUCAAGAAAUCUUUUCUCUACUUUUAUUCCCUUAUAUUCUUUAUUUUGAGAUUGUAAUUUUAGUUUAAAUUAAAAGACAUUUUCGAUCAAAACUUCUUCAUGUCUUUUCAAUCUUUGUUUCGAUUAUAUAAACGAGGAAGUAACGGUUGAAUAAAUAAAUUCGAGUAAAAUAGAUCUUUAAUUAAAUAAAAUCUAGAAUUAUAUUCGAUUAGAGCUGAAAUUUUCGUUCAAAGCUGAAGUUUUGUAAUAAAAUAUCUUUGUCAAAAAAUUUUUGUUAGUUUUUAUUAAUUAUUUAAAUUUUCAAAAAGCAUUAAGAAAAAAAAAACGAAAUAAAAAAAUGGUACAUGUUCACAUCCAAACACGUUCUAAACAUUGGCUGAGUUGUGUCCACAAAUAUAAUUAUUGCUUUAUAACUUCAUAUAAAUAUGGCCUUUAACUUUCAAAUAUUUUGUACAUAUAAAAGUCAUUUUGUUAACAUCCAAACACGUUCUCCAUGUUGGCGAGUUGUGUCCACAAAUAUUCACCAAAGAACUUAAUUUAGAAUAGGAUCUCUCUCCCAACCCAACGGUGUUCUUAAAAAGAUAUUUUAACAAGUUGAAGAAGAAGCUAUAUUUAAAAUGUUUUUUUAGCAUACUCUUAAAUCAUAUAGAAUUAUCGAAUAUACCAAAAACAUGACAAGCUAGAAAAAUUGGAAGUAAAUAACAGCGGGACCAAGAGAUGCAAACAAAAUGCAAUAGGUGUAAAAAUACAGCCUAUAUGAUUCAAAUUCUUGUGGCUAUCUACAAAUAAAAUCUCAUACAAGACAGAAAAACGAGAUACAUUGAUUUUUGUUUUUCUUCAUGAGAUCAUUCUACCACUCAAAAUUCAAUGAAGAGAAGAUAAGGUUUGGUAUAUUUUUGGGUAUAUAAAGAGUGGUAGAACAGAGAGAGUGAUGAAGAGAAGAGAAAUAUGGCAACAGCAAAUGGAAUUCCUGGUGGCAUCACCAAUGUGCCUGGAGCUCCCAACAACGUGGAGAUCGAACAUCUGGCUCGCUUCGCCGUUCACGAUUACAACCAUAAGAACAACGCAGCUUUGGUGUUUGUGACAGUGAUAAGUGCAAAGACGCAGGUGGUGAGUGGGGUGUUGUAUUACAUAACCUUGAUGGUCAAAAAUGGCGAAACCAAAAUCGUGUAUGAAACCAAAGUGUGGGUGAGAGAAUGGUUGAAGUCUAAGGAGGUGCUGGAAUUCAAAGUCGUCGACGAUUCAAUCGGAGAAGGAAUCGAUGGUGGAGUCAACGAUGUUCCUGCCGACACCCCUCACAUCCAGAAUCUCGGUCGCUUUGCCGUUGAUCAAUACAACAAAGACGAGGUUCUCUUUUAUUAUAUUGUUCUUCCUUUUCUUCAUUUCACUAGGGAACGAUUAUUCCAUAAUUGAUUUUGUUGAUGACGCGCAGAAUGCAAAUUUGGAGUUUGUGAAGGUGAUUGAUGCAAAGUUACAGGUAGUGGAAGGGUUCUUAUACUACCUAACUUUGGAAGCAAAAAAUGGUAAGAGUAAAAAUGUGUAUGAAGCGAAGGUGUGGGAGAGGUCAUGGAUCAACUCCACUCAAUUGCUCGAAUUCAAGUCUGUCAAUGAUGCUCUUUAAUCGUCUUUCCAUCGCAGAAUACCACUUUUCAAGACUACGUACUUAUACUAUGCAUGCAUGCUAUAAAUAAAUGUAACUCUUGUUACGUACCCACCACCACCAUGUAUUCUCAUCAACGUUAUCAUAUAAUUAUAACUAAUGUUUGUCAUUAUAUAUAUAAAUGUUUUUUAUUAUAUGUGUGUGUUAAUUAUGCAACAUUUCUAAUUAACAGCCACGUAAACGUAAACAAAUAUAAUUCUUGUUGUUAUCUGUUUUCAUAUAAACCUCUUUAUAUAGAUUUAUAAAGUUCUAAAUAACCUUCAUUAUCUUGGUUGUUCUUAAUUUAAAAAUAUAUGCAUCUAUGUAUAUUUAAAUAAGAAUUACUUCUUUAUAGUCAAUAUUCAAAAUAUUGAGUGUUAUAAUAAUGGUAAUAUAUUAGAUAUUUAUUAAGUUCUUAGUCAUGAUACAAACUUGUAGAACCUGACAAACAAAUAUUUACACUUUCAAUUUUAACGCAGUAAAUACUUUCUAAAUAGAAAUAAAAUAAAGAAAAGGUGCUUAAUAUAAUAUCAACUUUUAAUUUAACUCUUUUUCUAUUUGUUUUCAUGUUAAUCAUUUAUCGGGCCAAUCUAGAGAGAGAAUUAUAGGGCGGCGUUGAAACAGGAGGAAAAAUAGGAACGGGUAUGCGAUUACUGUGUAGGAUAGAGGAUGAAUUUAAAAAACUACAAAUUAAAGACAUAUUGUUGUUUGAUGCAAUAGAAUUAGGAAACGAUGACGAAGUAAUAAGUGCUUUAUGGAGAUUUCUGAAUUACUCAUGACCUUAAAGGAUUCCAACGGACGGAACCUAGUGCACUUGUUUUUUCUAUAUGGACGUUUAGACUUCUUUGAACAAUUUCUAAAUGAGAGAAAACAGAAUUUACUAAGAGCAGUGGAUAAUGAAGGUAACAACGUUCUACUACACCUGGCUACGCUUUUGCCUCCUCAAUUCAAAUCAUUUUCAGGUUUAAGUGCAAAAAUUCAAAUGGACAAAGAUCUCUCUUAGUUCAAGGUGAAUUUAUUCAUUUCCUUAUUCCUUAUUCAAUCGUUCUUUAUUAAUUAGUAUUAUUGUAAGACAUGAGUUCUAGGAAUCUUGCCAGUGUGGAGAUCCAUAUGUGUAUUAAACUUCCCUACAAAUGGUAUCAGAACCCAUAGGUCUGGUGACCUAUGCUUGAUCAUAAGGUUCUCUUUUUUUCUUCUUCUUCCUCAAUUUGUGGGCUUCUAAUGACCCAACUUGACAAAUCCUUUCGCUCUUCAAUAUAGUGACUACGAUACUUUCAAAAUCAUCCGUUAGACCUCUCAAGAUCUUUUCCACAACCCGGUUAGGAGGAACCUCUUCUCCGCUCUUUGAGUUGGUUGGCCAUCAUCUGCACUCAAGCGCAACUUCGUCCAUUUCAUCCAUCUCCAUAUGUUCAAACUCUCUUCUGAGGGCUUGAACUCGAACCUGCUUCACGCGGGUAUCUCCUUUGUAUGCCACUUCAAAAGUCCCCUGCUUCUUUUUUUGACUUUGCAUUAGCUAUUUUCUCAAAUCUAGAUUCAUCCACUACAUAAAUACAGAAAGUAUAAAGUUGAUCUGUCUUUCACUCGUGUCUUUUUUAGUGCAGCAGUUUGGUUCAGUGUCUGAUUUUCAUCAUCCGCGAGUUCAUUGUACCCGUCCUCCACUAUGUCCCAUACAUCUUGGGAUCCAAGAAGGGAUGUCUAGAAAAAAUUGGCAAAGAUUGUGGAUAGUCCAAAAGGGGACAUAUAGAGCUCGACAAAAAGGGUUGAGAUUGUGGAGGAGUUAGUUGGGUCAUUAAAAGCCCAUAAAUUGAGGAAGAAAAGGUAAAAGAAGGAACCCAACGGUCAAGCACUACAGGUACGGUUCGACUGGAAUAAAUCUCAGAUUACUCAGAGCCGAGGUCCUAGUGGAAGAGGGCGAGGAGGUAGAGGACAAGGUGGACGUGGGCAAGGUAAUGAUAAUGAAGAUCAAAGUGGUCAGCAUAAUUAGCGUGACCAAGGACAAGGAAAAGGCCGAGGAGACCAGUCAAGAUUGGAGUGUUUUAAGUGUGGCAAGUACGACCACUAUCAGAGUGCUACAACUGUGGCAAGUUUGGUCAUAUUGCAAAGUAUUGCAAGACCGAGACAAAGGGGGAGACGAAUCUCGUUACUGAAGAUGUAGAAGAAUUGUUGCUGGUAAAGAGCUUAGAUGCAGUGGACAUGGAAAAUUCGGUCUCAAUAUUGGAUGAAGUGAUCCCGGUAAAAGGUGCGACAAACAUGAAAAAAGAACUCAAAAGAUGAAGAGAUUCAGCAGAUAGGGAGGCUUCUGGAUGAAGCUAAUGAGAUUAUGAAUAAACAGAGGGUUGAGCUCGAGGAGCUGAAGAAGGCGGAUGUUGGACCAUGUUUGAAAUCAAAGACUAAUGAGUUUUCUACCAACUCGAUAUGGUAUCUAGAUACUGGGGCAAGCAAUCAUAUGUGUGGGAACGAGAACUUUUUUUAUAAACUCACCAAGGAGGAGGCCAAAUUUGUGUCUUUUGGAGAUGACUCCAAGAUGGCUGUGAAAGGGCGUGGAACAAUUCAGCAUAUUCAAAAGAAUAGAGGAGUUGGAGAGAUUAGGGAUGUUUAGUAUGUUCCCAAGUUGAAGAGCAAUAUUUUAAGCAUGGGUCAGAUAAUUGAAAAGGGUAAUUCAAUUUUUAUGAAGGAUUAGGUACUGUAUUUAAAGGAUAAACAUGGUCGUCUAGCAAUCCAAGCAAAAGCAAAGAAGAAAGUUGUAUGAUCUAGAGUUGAAAAUCUUGGAGAGAAAGUGCUUGAAGCAAGGUAUGGCUAGCAAGAGCUUGGAUAACUCCAACUCAUGAUUGAAAGAAGCAAACCCAGUGUGGGAUGAUGCACAUGGAAAGCAAUGAAGGAAGAAUUUAAGUUUAUGGAAGAGUUUGUUGGGAUAAACUUAAAUUUUAGGGUUUUAUUAAUAAUUUUGUUUGAAUCUUAUUUUAUUAGUUUUGGGUCUAGUAAUAUUUAGUUUGAUUUGAUUGAGAUAAAAUAGGGAUAGGUAGUAAUGAUUUUCGGUACAAUAUUAUUUUAUGAUAGGUUAAGCAGAUUUUAUAUUUAAGACCGUUGAUAUUUUAUUUUCAGAUUUUAUUUUUGUUUUCGUAAUAUUGUAAGUAUCACGACAAUUUAAAGCCCUUCAAUUAUCAAUGAAUAAUAAAACUCAAUUUUGAAAAAAUAUCCAAGUGUGUAUCGUGAGAUUUUUCCAACACAUUUAAUUGUAAGCAAAAACAAUAUUGCAUCAACUGUAAGACAUAUGUGGAUAAACAAUUGGAAAGUUGUGUCCACACCAUUGAAAAUGUACCCAGCUUCAACUUAUCUUUAUUCGUUAAAAGGACCUCAAAAUAUCAUCUCUCAUAUCUCUUCGACUGUUCUUCCUGUUAAUUUUUUGUCCCAAUCAAUCACAACAAUUAGUAUAGAAUCUUUGAUAUCAGAAAAAUAAAACAGCAAUUACACAUUCCUGUAAAAUUUUCAACUUUAACUGUAUUAUUACCGCUCAAUUUUUUUUCCAAAGCUGAAACAACAAUAGAAUAUAACAGAAUUAUUGGGCAAUGUGGAAACUAUGUUACAUAUUUUGUUGUCUUUAACUACAGAGGUGUGAUCCGUUUGGUGAUUUUCAUUAACAAUGUUUGUAAUCGUAGUUUAUUGUCAUGAUUUUUUUGUGAUUCCUUAUUCGUUGUUUAAUUUUCUGAUACAGCUCCUAAGGUUGAGCCUAUUGAGUCUGAAUGACUGUUUUGUGGAUAAAUAAAAGGUACUUUCAAACAUUAUUUCUGUGAUUUUUCUUGUUUUAUAUGAAUUGUUAUUGUUAAAUGAAUCAAUAGUCAAAAGAGAGCUAUUCAUGUUUGGGGUUUUAACUAUUUUUGGUUGAAUGAAAAUGGUGUAAUGCAAACUUCAUCUUUGCCUGGGAUUAAGUGUAUAUUUGAAUAAACCUUUGUGGAAGCACGUUAGCUAAAGAAACUAGAAUGAACAAUGAAUUAGCUCUUUCAUAUUUAAACUUAGCUUGUGCGUAUUUAGAUAAUUAUGCACUUGUUUUCUCUUAUUUAGAUAAUUUCACUAAUUUAUUAAAUGUUGUAUGUAGGAAAGAAUUGAAGUAUAUAUGAAUCCACAACAUAAGUGUUUUAAUAAAAAAAAAUAUCCAGUUCAGAUUCAUUGGCUAAUGCUUUAGGAAUCCAAGAGCAUUGUGGAUGUGUUCAUGGUCUAGGUUUGGAUCCCUAUCCAUCUAAAGUCUUCGGAGCCAAAACUCGUUCUCAUAGUGGAUCAUCAACAUCUUCUCAAGUUGAAGAAUUAUAAACUCAGGUUAAUAAAUAUUUUAUAAAUAUUUGAUUAGUUUUUUACUUGUAUGAUUAAUUUUUUAGGUAUUAUUUUUCUUACAUUUUGAAUAAUUUUUUAUGUUACAAGUAUCUACAUAGACAUCACAAGUUAAUGAAAUGAAAGCAACGAUGACACUUUUUGUUGCAAAAUCAUCAGGGUCCAUUGCUUUCAAGUUUGCCAUGUUUCAACCAUCACCGCUAAUAAUUGCUAAAUUCAUUUGUACGGUUCUUUUUAUAAAAUAUAUUACCGACUAAAUAUUAUGUUAUAUUGUAGGUAUCUGAUCAAGAAAGCGUGUCAAACAAUGAAUAUAACGAAGAAGAACAAAAUUAUACAUUGUUAAUGAACAACUCUUAAUCAUAUUUUUAGUAUUUUAAUUUAGUAUUGAACAUCUUUCUUUUUAAUUUUUAUAUAUGAGCAAUUAAUUGUAUGAAUCAUAUUAAUAUGUUGAACAAUGUAUUUUAUUUCAUAUAUAAUAUUCAGUUUUAGUUCAUAUUAUUUCAUUUUCUUUUGUUAAUAAAACUAAUUUUAUCAUAAUCCCAUUUUAUUACAAUAAAAAACUAAAACAAAAAAAAAAAUUAUAUAUACACCUUUCCGACUGUUUUAGAACUCUGGUUAGGUAAACCCCUAUAAAUAGGGACAAUUUUGAAAACCCCAGUAAAUCCCGGUGGCUUUACCUACAAGCUCCUGUCUUAGAUAAUGAAGUUUAACAUUGUAUACCCAUCAUUUCCUCAAAAUUCUUCUUUUACUGUGUUCAACGCUUGCUUUGAACUUCUGACAGAGAUAAAGCCCUGCAAUUGUUAUGUCUGUUUUCCUUUAACUCUGUCUUUUGAGCCACAAUAAGGGUGGUUUGGAAUAGUGAAUCCCUUUUCUAUAAUGUCUCAUAAAUCUUGAGAAGGAAAGCUUGUCUUCAUUUUAACACUUCAAAAAUUAUAAUUUUCUUUUGCAAAAAUAUGUAUUGAUGAUGUUAAAUUGGUAGUGGCUAUUUCAGAAGUAGUGUAGAAUGGACUUAUAGUUUUCUUGAAGUAGUUGAAAAUUUUAUCUAUCUUAGUAGAUGACCGAACGUAGUUCAAAUACUAAACAAGGAUACUAUGGAGAAUAGUAAAAUGUGAAAGUAGUAAUUAAUAGAAGUGUAUUUGUUAGAUAGUGUUACAUCAAAUGGUAGUAUAUAUGAAUAUUUAUAGGUUAAGAUUAUUUUAGAAAAUGCUAAACAUAUAUAAUUUAUGUAAUGUUAUAGAUUUUUAAUUACGUAGAGUGUUCUUAAUUUGUUUUCCUAUCUCAGACUUUUCUACUAUAUUUUAGAAUUUGUAUUAUAUUUUGAAUAAUUUUAUCUUAGACUUUUCUAUAUUGUUAUAAAAUUUGCAUUAUACUUUAAUAAAAUCAUUAGUCCCUUAGUCUUAGUUCUAACCUGCACUUCAUCUGCAGAACACAAAGUCCUUCCCCGUAACCUUCUAAUACCAUAUAGUUCACCAUUUAAACAAAUAAGCACUAUAACUACUUCCAAUGAACUAAAAGACUUGUUUGGAUAAUUUUAUUUUAUCAAUACCUAUAUAUAGCAGAUAAAAAUAAGAAACAUUAAUAAAAUAAGUUUUUUAACAAUUACUUUAAACAUAUAAUUAGAUUAUAUAAACGAGUGAGUAACGUUGAAUGAAUAAAUAAAUUCUAGUAGUAAAAUAGAUAAUUAAUUAAAUAAAAUCUAGAAUUAUAUCCUUUCAGAGCUAAGGUUUUGUAAUAAAAUAUCUUUGUCAUUUUGUUUUAUUAAUUAUAUAAAUUUCCAAAAAACAUAAAGAAAAAAAAAAACGUUUUAAACAUUGGGUGAGUUGUGUCCACAAUUCUAAUUAUCGAUCGCUUGUACACAUAAAAAUAAUUUUGUUAACAUCUAAACACGUUCUUCAUAUUGGGCGAGUUGUGUCCACAAAUAUUCACCCAAGAACUUAAUUUAGAAUAUAUAGACAAGUUGAAGAAGAAGGUACAUUUAAAAUGUUUUUUUAACUUACUCUUAAAUAGUAUAGAAUUAUCGAAUAUACCAAAAACAUGACAAGCUAGAAAAAUUGGAAAUAAAUAACACCGCCGGGACCAAAGAGAUGGAAUAAUUUGGAGAAAAACAAAAUGCAAUAGGUGUAAGAAUACAAAUAAUAAAAUCUCAUACAUUGAUUUUUGUUUUUUUCAUGAGAUCAUUGUAUACUGUUUCUCUACCACUCAAAAUUCAAUGAAAAGAAGAUAAGGUUUGGUAUAUUUUUGAGUAUAAAGAGAGGUAGAACAGACAGAGUAAUGAAGAGAAGAGAAAUAUGGCAACAGCAAAAGAUCUUGGUGGCAUCACCAUUGUGCAUGGAGCUGCCAACAACUUGGAGAUCGAAGAACUGGCUCGCUUCGCCGUUGACUAUUACAACAAAAAGCACAACGCACUUUUGGAGUUUGUGACAGUGAUAAGUGCAAAGAAGCAGGUGGUGAGUGGGAUAUUGUAUUACAUAACCUUGAUGGUCAAAAAUGGCGAAACCAAAAUCGUGUAUGAAACCAAAGUGUGGGUGAGAGAAUGGUUGAACUCUAAGAAGGUGCUGAAAUUCAAAGUCGUCGACGAUUCAACCACAGAAGUAGGCACAGGUGAAAUCAAGGAUGUUCCUGCCGACACCCCUCACAUCCAGAAUCUCGGUGCCUUUGCCGUUGAUCAAUACAACCAAGACAAUAAGGUUCUCUUUUAUUAUAUUGUUCUUUCUUUUCUUGAUUUCACAAGAGAACCAUUAUUCCAUGAUUGAUUUUGUUGAUGACGCAGAAUGCAAAUUUGAAGUUUGUGAGGGUGAUUCAUGCAAAGGAACAGGUAGUGGAAGGGUUCUUAUACUACCUAACUUUGGAAGCAAAAGAUGGUAAGAGUAAAAAUCUGUAUGCAGCGAAGGUGUGGCAGCUCGACUCCACUGAAUUGCUGGAAUUCAACCGUGUCUAUGAUGCUCUUUAAUCUUCUUUCCACUUUUCAAGACUACGUACACUAUGCAUGUAUGCUAUAAAUAAAUGUAACUCAUGUUACGUACCCACCACCACCAUCUAUUCUCAUUAACUCCAUUGUAAUGUUUCUCAUUAUAUAUAUAAAUGUUUGUGUUUUAAUUAUGCAACAUUUCUAAUUAACAGCUUUUUUAAUAGAUUAACUACAAAAUUCUCAGGAAAUAUUUCUUCAUCGUUACACCUAUUACGAAUCGAUAUGAGAAACACUAUUAACAUACUUUUCAAAAUAAAAAACUAAACUUUAAUUAUGAGUGUGUGUGUGUGAAAGAUAUGAAUGUGGGUGGAUAGAGAAAACAGCCACGUAAACGUAAACAAAUAUAAUUCUUGUAUAAUUCUUGUUGUUAUCUCUCGUCAUAUAGACCACUUUAUAUAGAUUUAUAAAGUUCUAAAUAAGCUUUAUUAUCUUGGUUGUUCUUAAUUUAGAAAUAUAUGCAUCUAUUAAUUUUAAAUAAGAAUUGCUUCUCUAUGGACGUUUAGACUUUUUUGAACAAUUUCUAAAUGAGAGAAAACAGUAUUUACUAAGAACAAGGUAACAACUUUCUACACCUAGCUGCGCUUUUGCCCCCUCAAUUCAAAUCAUUUUCAGGUUUAAGUGCAAAAAUUCAAAUAGACAAAGAUCUCUCUUAGUUCAAGGUAAAUUUACUCAUUAGAUGGAGAAUGAAAUUAUUGAACAUGUAUAUCAUACCACUUCAAAUGAUCUAAUCAUUCUUACAUCAACUUCAUCGGGUUCUUCUCAACAUCUUCAUCUUUAUCUUCCUCUUCUUCUAGUUCAAGAACACUAUAUGUUUCCUCCUCCUAUUGAAGAGUCACAUUCUUCAGUUCCUCAAGCUCAACCCUAUGUCUAUUCAUAAUUUCAUUAGCUUCAUCUAGAAGCCUCUCUACCCGCUGAAUCUCUUCAUCCAUAGCUUUCUUCCAUCUUUCAUUACAACUUCUUCAAAUUUUAUAUCUUCUACACCUGUUAACAAACAUGUUACAUUUCCCUCAUUAGUGGAGUUAUCCGAGCUCUUGCUAGUCAUAUCUUUCUUCAAACACCUUUUAUGCAAGAUCAUCAACUGCAGUUCACAUAACUGGUUUUUCUUUGAUUUUACCUUGGUUGGUAGACAACCAUGCUUAUCUUUUAAGUACAAGUCCCUAACUCUUCCAUCCUUCUGCAUAUGUCGAAUUCUUCUACGCCCCUUCACGGCCACCUUGGAGUCAUCUCCGAAAGACAUAAAUCCGACCUCCACCUUGGUGAGUUCAUCAAAGAGAGAUUCAUCUUCACACAUGUGAUUGGUUUCUCCAGUAUCUAAUACCAUACUGAAUUGGUAGAAAUCUCCUCACCUUUUGAUUUCAAGCAUGGUCCAACAUCCGAAUUCUCCACCUUCGACUCUGAGAUCUUUGACGACAGCAAAAUCCCCAACUCUUUUUCAUCUUCUCCUUCUGUAAGAAGGUUUCUCUCACUUUUCUUCUUGGCUUGACAAAGUUUAGCAAUGUGACCAAGCUUACCACAGUUGUAGCACUUCAUUGAUCUACAUUCAUUUGCAUAGCGUGUUAGGUACAAACAAAGUCCCACAUCAGAUAAAAUAAGAGAUGGACAUGGGUUUAUAUACACACAAGAUACCUCCAUUCGUAAGAGGCCUUUUGGAGUGAUACCAAAAUCAUCAAGUUCUCUCUUUUACUUCUUCUUCCUCAAUUUGUGGGCUUGUAAUGACCCAGGUAAUUUCACAACCCGGUUAGGAGGAACCUCUUCUCAGUUCAUUCUGAGUUGGUUGGGCAUCUUCUGCACUCAAGCUAUAAACUAAGCAACUCCGUCCAUUUCAUCCAUCUCCAUAUGUUCAAACUCUCUUCCGAGUAUCUCCUUUAUAUGCCACCUUUUAAAAUUCCCAUGCUUCUUUUGCUGACUUUGCAUUAGCUAUUUUCUCGAAUCUAGAUUCAUCCACUGCAUUAUACAGAAAGUAUAAAGUUGUUUUGUCUUUCACUCGUGUCUUUUUCAGUGCAGCAGUUUGGUUCAUUGUCUGAUUCUCAUCAUCCGCGGGUUCAUUGUACCCGUCCUCCACUAUGUCCCAUACAUCUUGGGAUUCAAGAAGAAUCUUCAUCAACAAAUAUCAAUUGUCGUAAUUGGUCUCUUUUGACAAUUGUGGCACACUCAUUCCGUUGACUACCUUUGUCACUCUCACAAAAAAACUCAAGUACUCACUUUUCCCCUCGCGGUGUUUGACUCUCCUAUAUUCAUAUUUCUCUCUCGGUACUCAAACAUAAACCUCUGAUACCACUUUGUUAAAAAAAACGUGAACCACACAAAUAAUUUUACUCUUCAAUUCAUUGGGAUUACUUUUCAUUGAAUCUUGACAACCUUUAAAUAGGUUCAAAUACGGUAUUAGGACAAGUACAAAUAAUAAAAACUAAUAAUAAAAUAUCAACAGACUCAAAAUAAAAUCUACUUAAUCUAUCUUUAUCUUAUAUGAAUAAAAUAAAAUAAUACUCUCCUAAUAAAUGGAAAAUCAAAACUAACUAUAUCUAUUUUAUCUCUAUCCAAAUCAAACUAAAUAUUACUAAACUCAAAACUCAUAAAAUAUAAGAUUUUAAUGAAUCCUUAAAAUUUAAGUUUAUCCUAACAUUUUACACAUAGGAUUCCAACUCUUCCAUCAAAUUCCUACAAAACACCUUAAUACAAAACUAACUCAAAUUCUUACUACUUUGUUUUUUAGCACUCCCUAAGUAUUGAAUAUGGUAAUUGUUGGUUUUGUAUUCUGUUUCAUAGUCGAAAAAGAUUUAAAGAAUCUUAUGGUGAGACCUUCAUGCAAGAAAACAUCUAAUAAAUGGGAGAGAAGAAAGAGAAACGAGAGACAAAGAGAACUAAAUGGGUAAAACAUAUACUUUGAUGUAGAACUCUUACUGAAAAAUGAUAUAUCAGUACAUAAGUAAAGAAACUUAGUCUUGGUUUUCUUCUGCCCUUGAUCGGCAAAACACAUAAUAAAUUAUAAUGUAAAAGAGAUUUGAUAACGAAGAAUAGUGAAACAUCUUAAAUUUUAUUUAUAUUUUAUUUAAUUUCACUCCUCUUUAUCUAAUCGAAAUUCUUUUCUUAAACCUUAAUUUUUAAUAAAAACAAUUAUACUUAGUCUAGUGAGAAAAGGAUUAGAAGGAAGCUCUCUAACCUACAAAAGAGAGUGUUAUACUAGUUCAAUUUAGACCCGUAAAUUUGAAAAUGCACUUAAGUUGGCCCUACAUACACAUAAUUGAUGAUGAGAUAGACAUCCCAGAUAUACAUAUAGUUGAAGAGAUAUAAAUAAACUUACAAUUAUCUCACAAUUCAAUAUUACAACCUCAAACAAAUUACAUAAUGGAUACUGCCACACACAAUAAUUAUAACAAUCAUUUUAGACUAUGCAAAUCUACAAACUUUAAAGCUUGAUUUGGAGAUAUACUUUAUUUGAAAGAGUAAUAUUAUACUUCAGUGUGGAACAGAUAUAUCUUUGCUACCUUAAAAGACACUAGCCUUAAACUCCAUAGAUCACAUUGUGUGCAAAAACCAAAAGAAAAAACACUUUAAAUACAUCUUGUUGCCUGUAUCACACUGAAGUAUAAUAUUACUCUUUGAGAUCUAACAUCGAUGAAAAUUCCCAAAGUGAAUUUUCUUCGAAGAUCUCUGGUUCACGUCCUGAUAUGUCAUUAACUCGUGAAUCAAGUGUCUCUUCAGAAAGGAAGUAUGUUGAGCAACCUAAUGACUUGAAAAAUGUUCAAGUUAAGCCUUCUGGUAGAUAUGAUUCUACAACAUCAAAUACGUCAUUUCCCAUGUCUCUUAUAAUAAUCCAUCCUCGUCUAUGCAAAUACCAGCUGAUUCAAGGAUGGUUUCCCAAAAUUACUUAUUAAAGAACAAUCCUCAACACGGUGGUAUUGCUACUGGUUCUCAAGGACUGUAUGAUCAAAGGUUCUUGUUAAUUCUCAAGCAGGCACACAGCGUCCAGUGGCAUUCCAAGUGAGAAACUUUUCCUACAUGUUCUUGUUAGUUAAUGUGCUUAAUUCUCACACUGGUUCAAUAAUAAGAAACUAUUUCAUUGCAACCUAAUAUCAUUCAUACAUAAAAAUUAAAAAAGAAAGAUAUUCAUUACAUAUGUUCAAUAUAAAUGUUUAAUACAUAUAUUCAAUACAAAUUUUCAAUACUAAAAAUAUGACUCAAAGAUAUUCAAUAACAAUAUUUAAUUUUUUUUCUUCUUCAUUACAUCUAUUGUUUGACACACUCCCUUGAUCAUAUAACUACAAUAUAACUUAAUAGUUAGUCGAUAAUAUAUUUAAUAAAAAAAUCAUACAAAUAAAUUGAAAAAAUAAUAUAUAUUAUUCGUGUACUUUAUCUGUUCUGCAUGCAAACCCCAAUCAGUUACUUUUUCAGCUUUUGAGUAGUAAACGAGUGAGUAACGUUGAAUAAAUAAAUUUGAGUAGUAAAAUAGAUAAUUAAUUAAAUAAAAUCAAGAAUUAAAUCCGUUCAGAACUAAGGUUUGGUAAUAAAAUAUCUUUGUCAUUUUGUUUUGUUAGUUUUUAUUAAUUAUAUAAAUUUCCAAAAAACAUAAAGAAAAAAAAAACGAAAUAAAAAAAUCAUAUACGUUAACAUCCAAACACGUUCUAAACAUUGGCUGAGGUGUGUCCACAAAUCUAAUUAUCGCCUUUAACUUUCAUAUAUUUUGUACACAUAAACAUCAAUUUGUUAACAUCCAAACACGUUCUACACAUUGGGCGAGUUGUCUCCACAAAUAUUCAUCCAAGAACUUAAUUUAGAAUAUAUAGGAUCUCUCUCCCAACGGUGUUCUUAAAAAGAUAUUUUAACAAGUUGGAGAAGAAGCUACAUUUAAAAUGUUUUUUUGGCUUACUCUUAAAUAAUAUAGAAUUAUAAAAUAUACCAAAAACAUGACAAGCUAGAAAAAUUGUCAGAGUUAGGAAGAAAAUAACAGCGGGACCAAGAGAUGCAAACAAAAUGCAAUAGGUGUAAAAAUACAACCUUUAUGAUUCAAAUUCUUGUGGCUACCCACAAAUAAAAUCCCAUACAAGACAGAAAAACGAGAUACAAUGAUUUUUGUUUUUUUUUUUCAUGAGAUCAUUCUACCACUCAAAAUUCAAUGAAGAGAAGAUAAGGAAGAUAAGGUUUGGUAUAUUUUUGGGUAUAUAAAGAGAGGUAGAACAGAGAGAGUGAUGAAGAGAAGAGAAAUAUGGCAACAGCAAAUGGAAUUGCUGGUGGCAUCACCAAUGUGCCUGGAGCUCCCAACAACGUGGAGAUCGAACAUCUGGCUCGCUUCGCCGUUGACUAUUACAACAAAAAUGAGAACGCAGUUUUGGAGUUUGUGACAGUGAUAAGUGCAAAGAAGCAGGUGGUGAGUGGGGUGUUGUAUUACAUAACCUUGAUGGCCAAAGAUGGCGAAACCAAAAACGUGUAUGAAACCAAAGUGUGGGUGAGAGAAUGGUUGAAGUCUAAGAAGGAGGUGCUGGACUUCAAACUCGUCGAUGAUUCAAUCAGAGAAGUAAUCGAAGGUGGAGUCAACGAUGUUCCUGCCGACACCCCACACAUCCAGAAUCUCGGUCGCUUUGCCGUUGAUCAAUACAACAAAGACCAGGUUCUCUUUUAUUAUAUUGUUCUUCCUUUUCUUCAUUUCACUAGGUAACGAUUAUUCCAUGAUUGAUUUUGUUGAUGACGCAGAAUGCAAAUUUGGAGUUUGUGAGGGUGAUUCAUGCACAGGAACAGAUAGUUGAAGGGUUCUUAUACUACCUAACUUUGGAAGCAAAAGAUGGUGAGAGUAAAAAUGUGUAUGAAGCGAAGGUGUGGGAGAGGUCAUGGAUCAACUCCACUCUAUUGGUCGAAUUUAAGCUUAAGCUUGUCAAUGAUGCUCUUUAAUCUUCUUUCCAUCGUAGAAUACCACUUUUCAAGACUAUUUUACUAUGCAUGUAUGCUAUAAAUAAAUGUAACUCAUGUUACGUACCCACCAUAUAUGUAUUCCCAUGAACUCCACUAUAAAUAAACGUUAUCAUUUAAUUAUAACUAAUGUUUGUGAUAUAUAUUUGUUGUUUAUUUGAAUAAAUUUAUUUUUGUUAAGAGGAUUCCAAGGUAAUUUAUUUUUUAUGUUUAUUUGAAAAAAUUUGGAGGUAAUAGUGAGACUAGAUUUCGAAGUAAAAUUUGUGAGAAUUAGUGUAGUAUUUAUUUUAUGUGACAGAUUAAAAAAAUUUACUUCCAAAUUCACUUUUACUUACCUCUAAAUCUAUUCAAAUAAACAACAAAAAAAAUUAGGCUUAAUAGCACUAAUGGUCCCUAUUUUGGUUGGCAAAAUUCGAAUUGGUCCCCAUUUUUUUUUUUCUGUUCAAUGUGGUCCUAAAGAUUGUAAAUUUCGUUCAAUCUGGUCCUUUUUGGAGACGCCGUUUAAAUAGUUAACGGCAGAAACUCCAGCUGUGCAGAAAAGUGUUAAUGUGGCAUUUAACUGGCCACGUGGAUUCCCUUGAGGCAUAGUGAGGUAAAAUUUGAAAUAAAACUAGGACCAUUUCGAACACACUUAACGAAAAUAGGGACCAUCUCUUCUCCCUUUUCUCUGGUUCUCCUCUUCUUUUACUCCCUUGUGUACCUCUACUUUUUAUCUCUUCCGGCAUUUUUAAACUUUCUUUAGUUUUUUAUCAAUUAUCUUCUCGUUCAACUGAUUAAAAUUUUUUUGUGUUGUGUUUUAGUGUAGUUUUGAUCCACUCUUUCGGUAACAUAGUGCAACGUUCUUCCUUUGCUAGUUUCCUCACUAAAAGAGUGGUGAUCUUUUGAGUUUACUAGUUCUUCCGACCCAAAAUGGAACUUGGGUCCUUGUCUACUUCUCGAUACCGUAAUUUUUUUGUUGUUGUUGUUGAAUAAUUGGAAGUAGUCAUGGACCCAGGUUCGGUUUUGGGUUGAAAGCACUAGAAGAUUCAAAAGACGCAAGCUUUUUUUGUGGGGAAAGAGUGUUGCACAAUGCUACCGAAAGUCUGGAUCAAAAUUGCACUAAAACACAAAGUCGUUGUUAGACGUCGGUUAAAUCCAUGCCCGACGUCUAUAACAACAUAGACGUCGGUUAGUGUCAUUUUAAAUCUCUUUAUAUAUUCAAGUUGAUGUCGGUUUAAUCAUAGGUGGACGUCUAUAUAGAGUAAUUUGAUGUCGGUGUGAGUAUAAGCAGACGUCCAUAUAGAUGUAAGUGGAUAUCGUUAACUGACAUUUAUAUGGACGUCGGUUCUGACGAAUUUCGACGUCCCAUUGACGUCACCCGUUUAGACAUCGGUUGUGAAAGUGAUGUUAAAAGCCCAAAUUAACCGACGUUAAACACCGUUUAUGCACUAGUGGAUCCGGCAAGAGAUAUCCAUGUCCGUUGAAGUGCACCUCCUCUCCAAUGGUGACUGCAUCUAAUUCUUUUCUGGUCUGAGUCCGAUAAUCAAGUUCUGUUUUGACACGGCUAAGUUCUUCUCUGGGGGAUACUCUGUCAGAAAUUUAAGACCUUAGAUGGGUUGAAACUUCCAGAGCCAAACUUAUUUUCUCCUCCCAUAGAUGUCUGAUUGUCUGAAUCACUACUGCCAUCAUAACCACCAUCGGGAAAAAAGCUUUCUCGUUCCAGUUUCUUUGAAAGAAAAAUAACCCUAUCCUCAGCCUUCUUUGAUCUUCUUAUUAGGUCUGCAUUUGCAUCCUCUUCAGGUUCAUCACAGAACCCUCAAAAUCGCCAUCGAUGCCAUGAUAGCCAUUUGUCAUUUUGUAUUCUCAUCCAACAAAUUAUUUUUAGGCCGAGUAUCAUCAAAAUCAGAGUCAUAGUAUCCAUUAACAGAUCUAUAAUAUAUAUCUUCAAUUGUGAUUGGAUUAUCAGUGUUAAGAUUCUGCAGACAUGCUCUGGGGAUAUCACAGGACUGAGAAAGUCUCUCAAUCACAUUUUUUGCAAGACUCUUCGGUGGUGGGUGACGGAAAUGGAAAAUUGAAGAAGAAUAGGAAGGGGAAGGUAGUGGAUGUGAGGGUGGGUGACAAAAAUGAAAAAGAGAAGGAGAAGGGAGUGGGUGUGGUUUGCACUUGAAUGAGGGAAUAGAAUUAGGGUUUUUAAUUAAAAAUAUAAAAAAAUUAAUGGUAAAAGUAAGAAAAAAAUUAAUUAAAAGAUAAUUUUGGAAAAAAAAAAUUGGGAAGAUGGAAGAAGUAUGUUUUGGUGGUGGAAAGAACAACUUUCUUAAUAAAAAUUUAGGGUUUCAGAAAAACAAUAAAUAAAUAAAGUUAAAAAAUAAAAAAAGUUAAUUUUGUAAUUAAAGAAAUUAUAAAGAAUUGAAGAGAUGGAGGGAACAAAGAUGAUAGAGAGGGAACUACACCCAAAGCUGAAAAUGGACAAGAUUUUAGGAGUUUACUGUCCCGUAACUUAACAAGCUCAAAGAAUUGCUCACAGUCAUACUAAUUUUAGGAGUUUAGUAUCCCCGUAACCUUCUAAUACCAUAUACUUCACCAUUUAAACAAAUAACCACUAUAAAGACUUGUUUGGAUUAUUUUAUUUUAUUAAUACCUAUAAAAGAUGAAAAAUAAGAAACAUUAAUAAAAUAAGUUUUUUAACAUUUACUUUACUGCUAAGUUAUUUAUAUUUUUAACCAUACACGUGUUCGGAUAAAUUUUCACAACAUGAGAAAAAAUUCAUAUCCACCAAACAAAUAUUAAAUAAAUUUAAACAUAUAAUUGGAUUAUAUAAACGAGUGAGUAACGUUGAAUAAAGAAAUUCGAGUAAAAUAGAUAAUGAAUUAAAUAAAAUCUGGAAUUAUAUCCUUUCAGAGCUAAGGUUUUGUAAUAAAAUAUCUUUGUCAUUUUGUUUUGUUACUUUUUAUUAAUUAUAUAAAAUACCAAAAAACAUUAAGAAAAAGAAAACGAAAUAAAAAAAUCGUACAUGUUCACAUCCAAACACGUUCUAAACAUUGGCUGAGUUGUGUCCACAAAUCUAAUUAUGAUAUAUUUUGUAUGACUUAAGAAUAAUGACAAAACAUCAAUUUGUUAACAUCCAAACACGUUCUCCAUGUUGGGCGAGUUGUGUCCACAAAUAUUCAUCCAAGAAGUUAAUUUAGAAUAGGAUCUCUCAACCAACGGUGUUAUUAAAAAGAUAUUUUGACAAGUUGAAGAAGAAAUUUUAGCUUACUCUUAAAUAAUAUAUAAUUAUGGAAUGCAUAUUAACAAUUUUUUUUAAUAAUUUUUUAAUAAUAGAUUAUGUGUUACUAUUUUAAUAAUUUGUAUAAUUAAAACAAACAAAUUACAAAUUAUUACAUAAACAGUGAAAUAAAAUUUGUGUUAAAAAAAAACUUUUUCCUUAUAGAAUACACCAAAAACAUGACAAGCUAGAAAAAUUGUCUCACGAGACCAAGAGAUGCUAUAUUAAUUUGGAAAUGGAAAAGUCUCUUUAACAACUUUUUUUUUACAAUCUUUUGAUAAUGUAUACGUGACAGUUUAUGAUAGGUCUAUUUUAAAUAUUUUUUUAAAUAUAAGUUCAAACAAACCAAUAAAAUAAUGACAUGUGUUCUAUUGUCAAAGAAUUGUUAAAAAAGAGUUGUCAAAAUAUUAUCCAUUUAUAAAACAAAAUGCAAUAGGUGUAAAAAUACAACCUAUAUGAUUCAAAUUCUUGUGGCUAUAAACAUCCACGUGUAAUAAAUAAGAAUAGCUCCACAAAUAAAAUCUCGUACAAGACAGAAAAACGAGAUACAUUGAUUUUUGUUUUUUUCUUGAGAUGAUUGUAUACUGUUUCUCUACCACUCAAAAUUCAAUGAAGAGAAGAUAAGGUUUGGUAUAUUUUUGAGUAUAAAGAGAGGUAGAACAGAGAGAGUGAUGAAGAGAAGAGAAAUAUGGCAACAGCAAAAGUAACUUCUGGUGGCAUAAGCGAUGUGCCUGCCAACAGCGUGGAGAUCGAAGAUCUGGCUCGCUUCGCCGUUCAAGAUUACAACAAUAAGAAUAACGCACUUUUGGAGCUUGUGACAGUGAUAAGUGCAAAGCAGCAGGUGGUGAGUGGGGUGUUGUAUUACAUAACCUUGGAGGCCAAAGAUGGUGAAACCAAAAAGGUGUAUGAAACCAAAGUGUGGGUGAGAGAAUGGUUGAACUCUAAGGAGGUGCUGGAAUUCAAACUCGUCGACGCUUCAACCAGAGAAGUAACAGGAGGUGGAAUCAACGAUGUUCCUGCCGACACCCCUCAAAUCCAGAAUCUCGGUCGCUUUGCCGUUGAUCAAUACAACAAAGACCAGGUUCUCUUUUAUUAUAUUGUUCUUCCUUUUCUUCAGUUCACUAGAGAACCAUUAUUCCAUGAUUGAUUUUGUUGAUGACGCAGAAUGCAAAUUUGGAGUUUGUGAGGGUGAUUCAUGCAAAGGAACAUAUAGUAGAAGGGUUCUUAUACUAUUUAACUUUGGAAGCAAAAGAUGGUGAGAGUAAAAAUGUGUAUGAAGCGAAGGUGUGGGAGAGGUCAUGGAUCAACUCCACUCAAUUGGUCGAAUUCAAGUCUGUCAAUGAUGCUCUUUAAUCCUCUUUCCAUCUCAGAAUACCACUUUUCAACACUACUUUUACUCUGCAUCUAUGCUAUAAAUAAAUGUAAUUCAUGUUAAUUACGUACCCACCAUAUAUGUAUUCCCAUGAACUCCACUAUAAAUAAA